rnacentral:rRNA from 1 species
UACGGGGGGGGUAAGCGUUGUUCGGAAUUACUGGGCGUAAAGGGCUCGUAGGCGGCCAACUAAGUCAGACGUGAAAUCCCUCAGCUUAACUGGGGAACUGCGUCUGAUACUGGAUGGCUUGGAUUUGGGAGAGGGAUGCGGAAUUCCAGGUGUAGCGGUGAAAUGCAUAGAUAUCUGGAGGAACACCGGUGGCGAAGGCGGCAUCCUGGACCAACAUUGACGCUGAGGAGCGAAAGCCAGGGGAGCAAACGGG